AUUGAACGCUGGCGGAAUGCUUUACACAUGCAAGUCGAACGGCAGCACGGACUUCGGUCUGGUGGCGAGUGGCGAACGGGUGAGUAAUGUAUCGGAACGUGCCCAGUCGUGGGGGAUAACGUAGUGAAAAUUACGCUAAUACCGCAUACGAUCUAUGGAUGAAAGCGGGGGAUCGCAAGACCUCGCGCGAUUGGAGCGGCCGAUAUCAGAUUAGGUAGUUGGUGGGGUAAAGGCCCACCAAGCCAACGAUCUGUAGCUGGUCUGAGAGGACGACCAUCCACACUGGAACUGAGACACGGUCCAGACUCCUACGGGAGGCAGCAGUGGGGAAUUUUGGACAAUGGGCGAAAGCCUGAUCCAGCCAUUCCGCGUGCAGGAUGAAGGCCCUCGGGUUGUAAUCUGCUUUUGUACAGAACGAAAAGGUUUCUACUAAUACUAGGAGCUCAUGACGGUACUGUAAGAAUAAGCACCGGCUAACUUCGUGCCAGCCGCCGCCGUAA
rnacentral:rRNA from 1 species